AACUUUUAAAAGUAUAACAUAACUUAUUAUUUAAAAUAGGCUAAAUUACAGAAACCUCCCUGUAAUAACCCGCCUUUUCACUUCCCCCCCUGACAUUUAAAAACCUAUACUUUGCCCCCUCCUAAUUACGGAAUUAUGCACAUGGCCCCCUGCCGCGUCAUGGUUCCGUGAGUGUUCCGCUCGUUUUUUCCAAAUUUAUUAGCGGAAUACCCAAACUACCCUUAAAAUGGCGGGAUACCAUAAAAAACUCAUUAUUUUCCCUCCAGAACCUUCUCUCCACUUAUUCUCCACUCUUUCACCCUUUCAACCACUAACCCAUCUAACCCAUUUUCUCCCCUCCUCCCAGCAGCAUCACGCUGCAGUUACUAGAGCUGGAAUCUUCCCCUGUAGCCUCCAAAAUUAUC
rnacentral:lncRNA from 1 species